rfam:Schistosoma mansoni strain Puerto Rico chromosome W, complete genome
AUCCAGCUGACGAGUCCUAAAUAGGACGAAACUCAUGUCCUGGGU